rnacentral:rRNA from 2 species
CGUGUAGGCGGCUUAGCAAGUCGGGCGUGAAAGCCCUCGGCUCAACCGAGGAAGUGCACCCGAAACUGCUGAGCUUGAGUGCCGGAGAGGAUGGCGGAAUUCCCCAAGUAGAGGUGAAAUUCGUAGAUAUGGGGAGGAACACCGGUGGCGAAGGCGGCCAUCUGGACGGUAACUGACGCUGAGACGCGAAAGCGUGGGGAGCAAACA